rnacentral:rRNA from 1 species
CUUAAAUUGAAGAGUUUGAUCAUGGCUCAGAUUGAACGCUGGCGGCAGGCCUAACACAUGCAAGUCGAGCGGUAGCACAGAAGAGCUUGCUCUUCGGGUGACGAGCGGCGGACGGGUGAGUAAUGUCUGGGAAACUGCCUGAUGGAGGGGGAUAACUACUGGAAACGGUAGCUAAUACCGCAUAACGUCUUCGGACCAAAGAGGGGGACCUUCGGGCCUCUUGCCAUCAGAUGUGCCCAGAUGGGAUUAGCUAGUAGGCGGGGUAAUGGCCCACCUAGGCGACGAUCCCUAGCUGGUCUGAGAGGAUGACCAGCCACACUGGAACUGAGACACGGUCCAGACUCCUACGGGAGGCAGCAGUGGGGAAUAUUGCACAAUGGGCGCAAGCCUGAUGCAGCCAUGCCGCGUGUGUGAAGAAGGCCUUCGGGUUGUAAAGCACUUUCAGCGGGGAGGAAGGCAGUUCAAUGGGCGCAAGCCUGAUGCAGCCAUGCCGCGUGUGUGAAGAAGGCCUUCGGGUUGUAAAGCACUUUCAGCGGGGAGGAAGGCAGUGAGGUUAAUAACCUUGCUGAUUGACGUUACCCGCAGAAGAAGCACCGGCUAACUCCGUGCCAGCAGCCGCGGUAAUACGGAGGGUGCAAGCGUUAAUCGGAUUGAUUGACGUUACCCGCAGAAGAAGCACCGGCUAACUCCGUGCCAGCAGCCGCGGUAAUACGGAGGGUGCAAGCGUUAAUCGGAAUGACUGGGCGUAAAGCGCACGCAGGCGGUCUGUUAAGUUGGAUGUGAAAUCCCCGGGCUUAACCUGGGAACUGCAUUCAAAACUGACAGGCUAGAGUCUUGUAGAGGGGGGUAGAAUUCCAGGUGUAGCGGUGAAAUGCGUAGAGAUCUGGAGGAAUACCGGUGGCGAAGGCGGCCCCCUGGACAAAGACUGACGCUCAGGUGCGAAAGCGUGGGGAGCAAACAGGAUUAGAUACCCUGGUAGUCCACGCUGUAAACGAUGUCGACUUGGAGGUUGUGCCCUUGAGGCGUGGCUUCCGGAGCUAACGCGUUAAGUCGACCGCCUGGGGAGUACGGCCGCAAGGUUAAAACUCAAAUGAAUUGACGGGGGCCCGCACAAGCGGUGGAGCAUGUGGUUUAAUUCGAUGCAACGCGAAGAACCUUACCUACUCUUGACAUCCAGAGAAUUUGCUAGAGAUAGCUUAGUGCCUUCGGGAACUCUGAGACAGGUGCUGCAUGGCUGUCGUCAGCUCGUGUUGUGAAAUGUUGGGUUAAGUCCCGCAACGAGCGCAACCCUUAUCCUUUGUUGCCAGCACGUAAUGGUGGGAACUCAAAGGAGACUGCCGGUGAUAAACCGGAGGAAGGUGGGGAUGACGUCAAGUCAUCAUGGCCCUUACGAGUAGGGCUACACACGUGCUACAAUGGCGUAUACAAAGAGAAGCGACCUCGCGAGAGCAAGCGGACCUCAUAAAGUACGUCGUAGUCCGGAUUGGAGUCUGCAACUCGACUCCAUGAAGUCGGAAUCGCUAGUAAUCGUAGAUCAGAAUGCUACGGUGAAUACGUUCCCGGGCCUUGUACACACCGCCCGUCACACCAUGGGAGUGGGUUGCAAAAGAAGUAGGUAGCUUAACCUUCGGGAGGGCGCUUACCACUUUGUGAUUCAUGACUGGGGUGAAGUCGUAACAAGGUAACCGUAGGGGAACCUGCGGUUGGAUCACCUCCUUACC